rnacentral:ncRNA from 1 species
GGUUCUUGCGCUGUCCGGUGCGCUCGCGUCGGCCCUUGAAAAUCCGAGUGAGGGAGUGUGAUUUUCGUGCCGGACCGUACCCACAUCCGCAGCAGGUCUCCAAGGUGAACAGCCUCUAGUCGAUGGACCAAUGUAGGUAAGGGAAGUCGGCAAAACGGAUCCGUAACCUUGGGAUAAGGAUUGGCUCUGAGGACUGAGCCGGUCGGGCUGGGGACCUGAAGCAGGAACGGCACUGCACCGGGACUGGGCGGGGCUCGCCGUUCACGCGGCGCGGCCAAGCCCGGACCAGCGUCGGGACCUUCCUGUGGAAAGCCUCAGCUGCGCGGCGUCUGAGGGCUUCGUGCCCAAAGUGCUAUGCUUCGGCCGGCAAAAAACAGUCAACUCAGAACUGGCACGGACCGGGGGAAUCCGACUGUCUAAUUAAAACAAAGCAUUGCGAUGGCCGCUGGUCGGUGUUGACGCAAUGUGAUUUCUGCCCAGUGCUCUGAAUGUCAACGUGAAGAGAUUCAUCAAAGCGCGGGUAAACGGCGGGAGUAACUAUGACUCUCUUUUUGGGACGUAAGCCUGCGGGGUGUAAUGCCCUGCUCGAAGUCAACCCUCACGUGCUCGUCGUGCGUCCUGCCAAUCGGAGAGCUCGCUCUCCCGAUUGCAACGAGGGCUCUGGCGACUUUUCGGGGAGAACUGGGUUGCCGGCCCGUCUCCCUUAAAUCCACUUGGCGCGAAAAAUGAAAAGUAACAAUGUAUAAGCGGUAGCCGAGAGGCUGCUGCUCCAAGUGCAGUUGGAAGGAGUGGUGGCCGGUCGGGUGUACUGGUGCACCAGGGGGCACUCCAGAGGCCUCAGAAGUUCAUUCAUGC